UACGUAGGGUGCAAGCGUUGUCCGGAAUUAUUGGGCGUAAAGAGCUCGUAGGCGGUUUGUUGCGUCGGCUGUGAAAUCCCCGAGGCUCAACCUCGGGUCUGCAGUCGAUACGAGCAAACUAGAGUGUUGCAGGGGGAGACUGGAAUUCCUGGUGUAGCGGUGAAAUGCGCAGAGUAUCAGGACGGAACACCGGUGGCGAAGGCAAUCCCCCUGGACCUGUACUGACGCUCAUGCACGAAAGCGUGGGG
rnacentral:rRNA from 1 species